UAAAUUCACAAUAAUCUCUCCAUGUUUCUUCUCUCCUGUCUGGAGUCAGUUCACCGCGUCCCAAAGGAGUGCUACGCUGCAGAAAAGGCGUUGGCUGUGGGAUAUUAGAGCGUGAUCUCUCGGCAGAAUUCCACAGAGAAAUAUCCAAACGUUCCGUGAUCUCCUAUUGUGAUGGUUGGCUCAAUUCGAGAGCGCCGCCUUUCUUUUUCGCCAGAUAAACAUACUCCACCACAACUAUAAAUUAAUGAAAGGUGGCAUUCGUAGCAAACAGUCUGUGAACACACUAAAGUCUAACAUACUGUAAAUUGUUUUUGUUGCAGUCUGCCCCAUUGGGUGGAGACGGGGUCCCUUUUCGUAGCUGAAAAUAUGAUAUGUCCAAAAUGAAGGUAUGACUGCGAUGGAAAAAGCAACAGAGACUGCGGUGCUGCAGGCUCACAGACUCACAGACCUUCAGACACAGCUUUCAUCAUUAAAGACCCAUCAGACCCUGUGAACGGCCCUCACCUCUGGAUAAAACCCAAAUAAUAAUCAAUCACAAGGCUGUCCGGCCAAGACACACAAACACAAAGCCCCUGUUUUCCCUCAGAGAGCAGAGAACUCAUGCCUUGAGGGUGUACAGCAUGAAAUCUCCAUGAAAAUGUCCUUUUCAGUGCAACCAAUUUUAAAGUUAAUGAAAAGGUGAGAGAAUGAAAGACUAUGCGUGUGGCCAGAUGGACGAUAUUAAGCUGUGAGAUGGGGCGACUGAGGCUGGGGGCCUGGAUGAAAGAAGCAGAAGUCAGUUACCCAUUAUUCAUUAAGAUUUCCACCUGUUAGCUGCCACCAACAACAUCUAGACAACAAAAAAGCCACAUCUCAAAGGGAUAUAAAAGCAAGCCAAAUACAGUAUAUCCAGAUGUUCAUCACAGCAACAUCUGCACUGGGAGGAAUCGGGGCUUCACCAUGGGAUCGUCUGAGUCGUCUUGUCUUUCUACAGCUCUUCCAGUCUGUGGAGGAAUUCCUGGCAAGACAAGACAGAAAUCGAAACCUGCCGCUCAAUGAAUUGAAGGUCUCUUUCUCCCUCUUUCAUCAUGUUUUGUCAAGCUGUGCUGCCCACCCAGGUCUCCCCCACCAUUGUGUUGACAGAUGCCUAUAGCUGGAACAAGAAACUGGCUUCAAACAUCCUCAGAAUUGCUGAAGAUUCAGAAGCGUGGGAAUGCUGUUAAAAAGCAUGCAGGAAAUACAGACACCCCGUGCCUUUAUGGCCUGGAUUUCACAAUCAACCAACUUAAGAGUUUUAUGAUCUGUAGAAUAUGGCAUAAGUGGAUUAAUCCAGGCUCAGCAGUAGAAGUUUACAGCAGCUCUAAUAGCAGUCCCAGAUGCUCUCCUCCAUGCUGAACAAUUGGCUUUUAUGCGCAUAAUACACAUGGGAAUGACCCGUCAUAUUUUGAGAAGUUUGCGGUGCUGAAAGGUAUUUUAUUUUUUAAACAACCUAAAACUCAAGGAGACAGCAUGAUUCAGAUACAUCUCUUCUAGACCAACUUCUAAUGAAAGUGCCAUGCCUCAGAUUUACAGAAGCUCUCUAUUUUCCAGAGGAGCCAAGCAUGGUAUGUAUCGUAUUUAUAUAAAUCCUUUUCAACCCCACUCUCCCUCCAGGGUCAUGCUAUCUCUUCUUGUUGACUUUUUGAAUCUGUGUCUGAUAAAUUUCUUCUUGAGAUCAAACAGGGAAUCCACAAAUCUCACUAGUAUGUCAGAAUAACACGGUCAGGUCCCACAAACACCUUUUUGAUUGUUGCCCAACUCAGUUCCACCGUAACUGUCUCUACAGGCCUUCUUCUAAACCAACUCUGAGUCAGUAUUAUUCGACAACAAAACAAACUUGGUAAAUGUCAUUGCACUGAAUGCCCUGAAUUAACUGGCACUGGAUGUUCAUAACAGCUUUGCAUUUCAGCACAUUUGCUUCAGGAAUUAAUCCUGCAUUAAUGCACAUUUAACGGUGGACCU